CCGAACGACCGCCAAGCCCCCGCCCAGCCGCCCGGAACCAGCUGAGCGCAGCUGGACCCAGCAGCAGCCGUCCGCAGCGCCUCAGCCGCAGGUGGUGCUGAUAACCCCCUUGUACCGUGCCUCUGCCGUGGUCCCAGCACCUCUGCACGGAGCAGUCCUCUUUCCCCCUCACAGCCCUGCAAGCCAAAGAUACUGAGGCACCAAGAGCGGAGGUAACUUCUCUCCGGUUGCAUAGGUAACAGUUGGAAGGGCUGGGAAUCUGUCCUCCUUCAUCCUUACACUGCAGACUGGAAACACAGCACGGAGUGAGGGACCCUGUUUGUCUGGCACAGUUUGUGGCACACACUUUCAAGGGACAGGACCUGGUAUUUCAAAAGAUGGUAUGUACGACAGAGUGCAUCAAACACAGAUGUACAUGGGGCGUGAUGUACGGUCUAAGUGAUGUGGGCCCCAGUGCACGCACCACGCAUCAGGGUACACAUGCAGGGCAAGGCAUGAGGAACACGGGCCUGGUAUGGGGCGUAGAGAACGUGGUGUAUAUGAUGCUGGGACAUGGGAGCCAGUAUACGGGGCUUGAGAUAUAGCAACAGGACAGGCUCCCGGGCCGCAGAAGGACCCCUUCCAUGUCAGUGUGCCAAUUUUCUCCUCUCACAAAGGCCUGUCUGUUUUUUUUUUUUUUUUUUUUUGCCUCCUCCUCCCUGUCUCUUUCGAUGCCAGAGUGGGAGUGUCCUGGACGAGUGGGGCCCAGGGUACCCCCUACUACCCUAUGAGCUCAGACAGGGGUCAAGGCUUGGGGCCAAGACCAUGGCUCAGAAAGAGCCUGCCAGGCCCCCAGAUCCCUUCUCUGGGAGGGAGCUGUGAGCGUCACCAUUGGCUGGGCCAGAGCCUGGUAAUUUUCCUCUAAGCCUUCCUGUCUUCUGCUCCCGUCCCUGGCUGCCGCUGCUGGCUGCAAGCACGUCUGCAUUCCGGGGGGCUUAGGGGAGAGAGCACACACAGCUGCUGGGGUUAAGAAGCAGAUAGCCACCAGCUGCUGCGGGAGGAAUGGAGGGGGGGUGCGGGGUGCCUGGAGGAGGCAGUGGCUCCAGGCUAGCAUUUCCUGAGCCCUCUGGCACCUGGUGCACACGGCCUUAUCUUGUCUGGUCUGCACGUGAGCCCCAAUAGCCUGAUGAGGAGACUGAGGCUCAGAAAGGCAGGAGCUUGCCCAAGGUCACACAGGGGCAGAGGCAGAGCUGAGGCUAGACCCCCAGCUCUUCUGGAGGCAGAAGAGUGACGUAAUGAGGCAAGGUUAGGUGGCACAGAGAGUGUUGUUGGGGCUAUCAGUGGGUAACGAGGCUGAAAGAGCAAGGAGGGCCUUGAAUGCCAGGUUGGGGGUCCUGACUUUCAGUCUGCACUGGGGGCUAUGGAAGGGUCUUGACAAGUGAUGAUACAAUCUCUAUGGAUCAUGGGAGAGUCGAAGGCAGUGGGAAAGCUGGUGCAGUGGUUGCAGAGGAAAGAUGGAGACCCUGAACCAGGACAGUCCUGGGAUGUGUGUGUGGCGGGGGGAAGGUGGGAGAUGGGAAGUGAGUGU